AUCGAUAAUCCACGAUAAAUUUCACUUCAAUAAUUAAUUUAUAUACCGCCAUCUCAAGAAUUAAUUAAAAAAUAUUCUCUCAAAAAUUAAUAAAAAGUUAGGUCAAGGUGUAAUUUAUAUUAAAGAANAAAAUGAAUUACAUUAAAUAUAAUUAAAAGAUUAUAAAUAAAAUAUUUAUACAAAUAAGAAUUUAAAAGUAAUAUUAAAAUAAUAAUAUAAUAUGAUAAAUACAAUAAAUGUGCACACAUCGCCC
rnacentral:rRNA from 1 species